UACGAAGGGGGGGCUAGCGUUGCUCGGAAUCACUGGGCGUAAAAGCGCACGUAGGCGGAUGUGUCAGUCAGGGGGUGAAAUCCCGGAGCUCAACUUCGGAACUGCCUUUUGAUACAGCACGUCUUUGAGUCCGAUAGAGGUGGGUGGAAUUUCCUAGUGUAGAGGUGAAAAUUUCGUAGAUAUUAGGAAAGAACACCGGUGCGAAGG
rnacentral:rRNA from 1 species